CGGGACACGUGGUAUCCUGUCUGAAUAUGGGGGGACCAUCCUCCAAGGCUAAAUACUCCUGACUGACCGAUAGUGAACCAGUACCGUGAGGGAAAGGCGAAAAGAACCCCGGCGAGGGGAGUGAAAAAGAACCUGAAACCGUGUACGUACAAGCAGUGGGAGCACGCUUAGGCGUGUGACUGCGUACCUUUUGUAUAAUGGGUCAGCGACUUAUAUUCUGUAGCAAGGUUAACCGAAUAGGGGAGCCGAAGGGAAACCGAGUCUUAACUGGGCGUUAAGUUGCAGGGUAUAGACCCGAAACCCGGUGAUCUAGCCAUGGGCAGGUUGAAGGUUGGGUAACACUAACUGGAGGACCGAACCGACUAAUGUUGAAAAAUUAGCGGAUGACUUGUGGCUGGGGGUGAAAGGCCAAUCAAACCGGGAGAUAGCUGGUUCUCCCCGAAAGCUAUUUAGGUAGCGCCUCGUGAAUUCAUCUCCGGGGGUAGAGCACUGUUUCGGCAAGGGGGUCAUCCCGACUUACCAACCCGAUGCAAACUACGAAUACCGGAGAAUGUUAUCACGGGAGACACACGGCGGGUGCUAACGUCCGUCGUGAAGAGGGAAACAACCCAGACCGCCAGCUAAGGUCCCAAAGUCAUGGUUAAGUGGGAAACGAUGUGGGAAGGCCCAGACAGCCAGGAUGUUGGCUUAGAAGCAGCCAUCAUUUAAAGAAAGCGUAAUAGCUCACUGGUCGAGUCGGCCUGCGCGGAAGAUGUAACGGGGCUAAACCAUGCACCGAAGCUGCGGCAGCGACGCUGAUGCGUUGUUGGGUAGGGGAGCGUUCUGUAAGCCUGCGAAGGUGUGCUGUGAGG
rnacentral:rRNA from 1 species